CCUGGAUGUGACACACACAAAAAUAAUGACAAAAAUAAAUAAAUAAUGGAAAGUUUAAAAAGGCAGGCACAUGGCGCGCAGUGCAUUUACGCACAGACGGAAAGCCCCUAAUGGCUGGAAACACUGGCUCCCAUGCUGAGAGCAUUCGUGCAAAUAUGUCAUGGCGUGACUGAUUACACUCAUUCAUAUGCAGCUGUUGAUUGCUGCGGGUGCAGUGGAGUUGAUGUGCAUGCAUCAGGUGCCAGUAAACCCGGCUGCCAGGGCGGUGGAUCUCUGGCCGUCUCCAGGCCUUUUUCCUGCCUGCUGCCAGCCGAUAAGGGGAGCCCAAUCAAAUCCACUAUGAAAACAGACGUGCAUGGGCACUGGUAUGGGAGAGUCUGCCAAGCAGCAAGUCAUAAGCUGGGUAGAGCUUGUAACUACUGGCCCGGGCCCCAGACCAACAAGGGCCCACAGACUCCAGUUUGCUGGUGUGGCCAUUGCUUUGUGGUGAUUUGAUUACUUGCAUUUUCUGUUAUUUCAAUAAAACAUGAAACUAAAAUGGUAAAGGUUGGUAUAGGUUCUUCUUGUAUUUUUUUUUUUUUUUUUACCAAUCUUGAGGCACGGCCACAUAGGUAUAAAUUCUAGUUUUAGAA